rnacentral:rRNA from 1 species
ACGGGAGGCAGCAGUGGGGGAUAUUGCACAAUGGAGGAAACUCUGAUGCAGCAACGCCGCGUGAAGGAAGAAGGUCUUCGGAUUGUAAACUUCUGUUUUUCGUGAAGAAACAAAUGACGGUAGCUAAAGAGGAAGCCACGGCUAACUACGUGCCAGCAGCCGCGGUAAUACGUAGAUGGCAAGCGUUGUCCGGAUUUACUGGGUGUAAAGGGUGCGCAGGCGGGACUGCAAGUUGGAUGUGAAAUACCGAAGCUUAACUUCGGGGCUGCAUCCAAAACUGUAGUUCUUGAGUGGAGUAGAGGUAAGCGGAAUUCCGAGGGUAGCGGUGAAAUGCGUAGAUAUUCGGAGGAACACCAGUGGCGAAGGCGGCUUACUGGGCUCUAACUGACGCUGAGGCACGAAAGCAUGGGUAGCAAACAGGAUUAGAUACCCGGGUA